ACGAUGAAGAGUUUGAUCCUGGCUCAGGAUGAACGCUAGCGGCAGGCCUAACACAUGCAAGUCGAACGGUAACAGGAAAGAGCUUGCUCUUUUGCUGACGAGUGGCGCACGGGUGCGUAACGCGUAUACAAUCUACCUUUUACAGGGGGAUAGUCUUUAGAAAUGAAGAAUAAUAUCCCAUAGUAAGUGACCAUGGCAUCAUGGACACUUUAAAGUUUCGGCGGUAAAAGAUGAGUAUGCGUCCUAUUAGCUAGAUGGUGUGGUAACGGCACACCAUGGCGACGAUAGGUAGGGGCCCUGAGAGGGGGAUCCCCCACACUGGUACUGAGACACGGACCAGACUCCUAC
rnacentral:rRNA from 1 species